GUAUAGGUUUAAUGACUGCUUGCGCAAUCGUUAAAAGACAUUCUGUAACUUUAUAGUGUAUAUGAAAACAUGAUCUUGAACGAAGCAGGAGCAGAGUUUAUUCAGACUCCCAAACCGCACGAAUGCGAGGUUUCAAUUCAAGACCACAAGAUGUGCACAAGAGAAGAUAAAUAGAUGGACGUGCACAUGCUCAGUGAAGAGCCAGCAACAGUACCAACGUAUUCAAUAAUGAUCCUUCCGCAGGUUCACCUACGGAAA
rnacentral:misc_RNA from 1 species